rnacentral:rRNA from 1 species
UACGUAGGGUGCGAGCGUUGUCCGGAAUUAUUGGGCGUAAAGAGCUCGUAGGCGGUCUGUCGCGUCGGUCGUGAAAACUUGGGGCUUAACCCUGAGCUUGCGGUCGAUACGGGCAUGACUGGAGUUCGGCAGGGGAGACUGGAAUUCCUGGUGUAGCGGUGAAAUGCGUAGAUAUCAGGAGGAACACCCAUGGCGAAGGCAGCUUCCUGGCCCAAUUCUGACGCUGAGGUGCGAAAGCGUGGGUAGCGAACGGG